CAAUAGCGUAUAUUAAAGUUGUUGCAGUUAAAAAGCUCGUAGUUGGAUUUGUGGCUGUCACGGGCGGCCUAUCACUUAGUGUUAGUGCUUGCCUGUGUCGCCAUCCUUGGGUGGGGCCCGUGUGGCAUUAGGUUGUCGUGCGGGGGAUGCCCAUCGUUUACUGUGAGAAAAUUAGAGUGUUCAAAGCAGGCUUAUGCCGUUGAAUAUGUUAGCAUGGAAUAAUAAGAUAGGACCUCGGUACUAUUUUGUUGGUUUGCGCACCGAGGUAAUGAUUAAUAGGGACAGUUGGGGGUAUUCGUAUUUCAUUGUCAGAGGUGAAAUUCUUGGAUUUCUGAAAGACGAACUACUGCGAAAGCAUUUACCAAGGAUGUUUUCAUUAA
rnacentral:rRNA from 1 species